GUUAUAACCGGCGAUUUCCGAAUGGGGAAACCCAGUGUGUUUCGACACACUAUCAUUACGUGAAUACAUAGCGUAAUGAAGCGAACCGGGGGAACUGAAACAUCUAAGUACCCCGAGGAAAAGAAAUCAACCGAGAUUCCCCCAGUAGCGGCGAGCGAACGGGGAGCAGCCCAGAGUCUGAAUCAGCUUGUGUGUUAGUGGAACGGUCUGGAAAGUCCGACGGUACAGGGUGAUAGUCCCGUACACCAAAAUGCACAGGUUGUGAACUCGAAGAGUAGGGCGGGACACGUGGUAUCCUGUCUGAAUAUGGGGGGACCAUCCUCCAAGGCUAAA
rnacentral:rRNA from 1 species